AUAAGAAACUAUUUGCAGUGUCUCAGUCCUGCAGGGGAAUACAAUCUUCGUCUUGGAAUUAUAAAGGAGCUGCAUCCAGAUAUGGUAGCAACUUAUUCAGGCAGGUUGUAUUUGAUAUUUUAAAUAGCUAGAUUUGCUUCUUUCUUAUUUUAUUCAGGAAAUUAGCAUGUAUAUAAUGUGGUUAUAUGAUUCUCAGUAUCUCAAAUGCAAUCUUUGAUGAUAACAACUUCAGCAUUUUAUUUCUCUAUUUCUCUUGCUGAAGUAUUACCAUCACUUCUGAUGUUUCUCUUUUUCUUCUAUCACCUCAUACAGUGCUCAAGUUUUUGAAGGCCACCCAUUCAUGGUUGAAGCUGGAGUCAGUAUAGGUGGAAAAGAUGUUAAGCAAGUGCGUGCUUUUCUUUUAAUACUUACAAU
rnacentral:lncRNA from 1 species